GCGGCGGACGGGUGAGUAACACGUGGGCAACCUGCCCUGUAGAUUGGGAUAACUCCGGGAAACCGGGGCUAAUACCGAAUAAUCCAUUUCCUCUCAUGGGGAGAUGUUAAAAGACGGUUUCGGCUGUCACUACAGGAUGGGCCCGCGGCGCAUUAGCUAGUUGGUGAGGUAACGGCUCACCAAGGCGACGAUGCGUAGCCGACCUGAGAGGGUGAUCGGCCACACUGGGACUGAGACACGGCCCAGACUCCUACGGGAGGCAGCAGUAGGGAAUCUUCCACAAUGGACGAAAGUCUGAUGGAGCAAUGCCGCGUGAGUGAAGAAGGUUUUCGGAUCGUAAAACUCUGUUGUGAGGGAAGAACAAGUACGAGAGUAACUGCUCGUACCUUGACGGUACCUCAUUAGAAAGCCACGGCUAACUACGUGCCAGCAGCCGCGGUAAUACGUAGGUGGCAAGCGUUGUCCGGAAUUAUUGGGCGUAAAGCGCGCGCAGGCGGUCCUUUAAGUCUGAUGUGAAAUCCCACGGCUCAACCGUGGAAGGUCAUUGGAAACUGGGGGACUUGAGUACAGAAGAGGAAAGCGGAAUUCCAAGUGUAGCGGUGAAAU
rnacentral:rRNA from 1 species